rnacentral:rRNA from 1 species
CACCGCGGUUAUACGAGGGGCCCAAAUUGACACCUUACGGCGUAGAGUGUGAUUAAAGAUUCAUCCAAACUAAAGCCAAACAUCCCUUAUACUGUCAUACGCCAUGGGGGACACGAGGCCCAACAACGAAAGUGGCUUUAUAAGUCUUGAACUCACGACAGCUAAGGCA